AAUCAACGCUGGCGGCGUGCCUCAGACAUGCAAGUCGAACGAUUAAACUUUCCUUCGGGAAAGAUAUAAAGUGGCGCACGGGUGAGUAACACGUAAGUAAUCUACCUUCGAGUGGGGAAUAACGUCGGGAAACCGACGCUAAUACCGCAUAAUGCAGCGGCACCUAAUGGUGACAGUUGUUAAAGGAGCAAUUCGCUUGAAGAGGAGCUUGCGGCAGAUUAGCUAGUUGGAAGGUAACGGCUUACCAAGGCUACGAUCUGUAACCGGUCUAAGAGGACGGUCGGUCACACUGACACUGAAUAACGGGUCAGACUCCUACGGGAGGCAGCAGUCGGGAAUUUUGGGCAAUGGGCGAAAGCCUGACCCAGCAACGCCGCGUGAAGGAUGAAGUAUUUCGGUAUGUAAACUUCGAAAGAAUGGGAAGAAUCAAUGACGGUACCAUUUAUAAGGUCCGGCUAAC
rnacentral:rRNA from 1 species